rnacentral:rRNA from 1 species
GACGAACGCUGGCGGCGUGCUUAACACAUGCAAGUCGAACGAAGUGGCGCACGGGUGAGUAAAGCGUCAUAAACCUGCCCUUCAGAGGGGUAUAACAGUUGGAAACGACUGCUAAUACCGCAUACUGAAGGAGGUGAUUGCGUCUGAUUAGCUAGUUGGAGGGGUAACGGCCCACAAAGGCGAUGAUCCGUAGCCAGGCUACUAGGUGUAACGGCCACAUGUCGACUGAUACACGGCCCCGACUUCUACGUGACGCCGCAGUGUGGACUCUUCCGCAAUUGACGACAGUCGUACGGAGAAACGCCGCGUUGGGGAUGACGGCCUUCGGGUAGUAAAGCUCUGUUAAUCGUGACGCGUUACCGGAAUAGAAAGCCACGGCUAACUACGUGCCAGCAGCCGCGGUAAUAC